rnacentral:tRNA from 1 species
GGGCCUAUAGCUCAGUUGGUUAGAGCACACGCCUGAU